AUUGAACGCUGGCGGCAUGCUUUACACAUGCAAGUCGAACGGCAACGAGGAGAUGCUUGCUUCUCUGUCGGCGAGUGGCGAACGUGUGAGUAUAGCAUCGGAACGUGCCAAGUAGUGGGGGAUAACCAAACGAAAGUUUGGCUAAUACCGCGUAAGCUCCAAGGGGGAAAGUAGGGGAGCUAAAUAAGUCCUUACGCUAUUUGAUCGGCCGAUGUCGGAUUAGCUAGUUGGUGGGGUAAUGGCUCACCAAGGCAAUGAUCCGUAGCGGGUCUGAGAGGACGAUCCGCCACACUGGGACUGAGACACGGCCCAGACUCCUACGGGAGGCAGCAGUGGGGAAGUUUGGACAAGGGGGGAAACCCUGAUCCAGCCAUGCAGCGUGUAUGAAGAAGGCCUUAGGGUUGUAAAGUACUUUUGUUAGGGAAGAAAAGCUAGUUUUUAAUAAAAAUUAGUGAGGACGGUACCUAAAGAAUAAGCCCCGGCUAACUACGU
rnacentral:rRNA from 1 species